rnacentral:lncRNA from 10 species
GAACUCAGAGAAGAUGAAUUCAAAAUCCUCGAUGGGAGCAUCCAAGUACUUCCUGGUUUCUGGUUUACAAGGCACUUCAGAGGAUGCUGCACUGUCUGGGUGAGUCAGCUUCCUACUGUGGCUGCUGGUCACAGUCCAGGAACUCAUCUAGGCCUAGACUGGGAAUUCAGGCAGGAUUGGGACUUCCAGCCGAGUCAUCCUGGCCAACCCCGCUUCCUUGGCUGCCUGGCCUCGGAUGCUCCCAGGGACUCAGGUUCCAGCCCCCUGAAGGCUCCAGGCCAGCUCCUGAGGCCUGACCCUCCCGAGGCCGUGACUACCUGAGAAACCCAAUGUGGGUGGUCUGGUGGGUGCAAUAGUGGGAGAAGCACUUUACUCACCAUGCCUGGUUGCCUUCUGAAAAGCUUUGAAAUGUCCAGGGCGUGGCAGUAAGGGAAGAGGGUAAAAGAAAGUUGAGUUUGAUGUGGCCUUUGGUUGGGGGGGUCUGAACUGCCCCAGCUUCAUGGUCCCUCAGGCUAUAGAAGGCACUUGAGGGCUGGGCUGAACAGGCAGAGUCUAGGAGGCAGCAACUAACCCUUGUACUGGGUAACACAUAAGAAACCAGCAGCACAGCAAAGUUAACAGACUUGGUCUCAAAGUUUCUUGGCCAAGACAAGGUCUCUUGACCAGAAUGUAGAGGAGCUGGGAUUGAAGCCCAGCUUGGUAUGACUGCACAGUUUACAUUCUUAAAUCCUGUGCUAGGUAUCCUCCCUGAUAGGACCUGGGCUUCUCGGCUCCCGGCUCCCCUGAAUUCCUGCUGGCCUUCCUAACCAUCACAGCUUCAAAAUGCAUAUAGGUACAGUGCCAUUAGGUUGGCAUGAUGAAUUUCUAGAGGUUGCCACAAUGGGGGGAGGGUUCCAUGAGCUUGCCUGCCACAAAGUUGAGAGUAAGCGAUCCCUGAUUGGCUAGUGGGAGCUCCAAAUUCCAGUUCCCCACAAGUUCAGUCUCCCUGUGACCCUGAGCCAGAACCAGACUCUUAUUAAAUAACGGAUGGUCUCUGAAGGCCCUUCAAGUGCCAUGAUUCUCUCUGUGCCCAUGGGAAAUCAAGACUAUAGAGAGAAUGUUUGCAGGUACUGAUAGCUUCUGCAUUAUUGGGGCCCAGCAGAAGGACCCAUGAGGGAAGAAUGCAUGAGUGAACAUUAUUUUUACAAAUGGGUAGAUUCUUAGUGAAUAUUCUCAUGUUAUGAUUACAUUUGUUUUCUUACACAUUACAACUCUGGGAACUUAAGUAACAAACACUUUAAAAAGAAUGGCCCUUUGGAUCUCCAUAUCCCAAACCCAUGGGAUCAAGAUGUUGUAGAACUUGGCAGUCUUGUGGGUGGGGAGAUGCCCUUCCCUUGAAUGUCUAAGUGACAGGUGUCUAUGUUGUCUUGUUUUAUGUUUCCUGAGGAUAUACUCUGAAAGAACUUUUAAUUAUAAAGCAUUGUAAGCAGGAAGAAUUUAAUAUAAAAGCCUGUCUUCACUGACAGCAGGGGUGCAUCUUUGCUGAUCUUUUAUUAUCUUAUAUUUUAGGAAUGCUUUUAGUCUUGGGGCAGCUGUUUGGGGGAGUUGCCCAGGAUUUAAGAGCUACAUUUUGCCUGAGAAUCUGAUUCAAGGGUACUACCAUUGUUAGUAAAGUAGAAGGGGCCAGGGAUGGCCAUUUUCAGAGGAGUCCAGGGCGAGGAAAUAGGGAUGCUAAGGAGACAGAGGCCAAGAAAGUCAUGGCCUGAGGGUCUGGAAGCAGUCGCAUUUGAAUGCAGUUGUGAGUGUUUUGUCUCUCCUUUCCUUAAUCCCCAAGCUUUUGGAACUUGGCACCCUCAGCAGCAGGACCCACUAUUUCCCAGAAUGGGGGCCUGGACUUGAUAAAACCCUGGGCUGGGCUGCCUGAGGCUGAAGGGCUAGGGGGUUGGCCCACUGUCACUUAGACAUUCAAGGGAAGGACAACCCCCUCACCCCUAAGGCUGCCAAGUUCUGCAACAUCUUAAUCCGAUGAGCUUGGGAUAUGCAGAUACAAAGGGCCAUUCUUUUCUAAGUGUUUACUAUCUAAGUUCCCAGAGUCGUAAUGUGUCAGAAAACAAAUGCCAUCAUAACAUGAAAAUACUCACUAAGAAUCUGCCCUUUUGUAAAAAUAAUGCUCCACUUAUAGAUUCUUCCCUCACUUAAAAAGCGUCUAUCCCACCUGGCUCAGGUCAGUUUGGAUGACUGUCCGAUAUAACAGGACAAUACCAUUUCAAUGCAAAUCAACUGCAAAGUUCAUGAAGUCAAAGAAAACAGUGAUGGAGAAUUUUACAUGCAAGGUCUUUGACCAAGGAGAUCAGAUAGAGCUUAUCAAUUAAGUGAAGAAAAUACGACGAGGAUGAUGCUCAAAUAGGUUCUUCAAAAGGGAAUAAUUUGAAUAUCGAGGGACUGAAAGAGAUCCUUGGGGAAAUGGAUGAAGCCCUUAAGUAUUAAACAGACGUAGACUCUUAAUUAGGUGCUGUAAAGUAAAAUGUGAAGAGCGAGUUACUAUGUGAACAGAUCACUUUGCUGGUAUAAUAAAUAAAUAUACCCACACCAAAAUCAACAUUUUAUUCUUUCUUCAAUCUGAAAAUUA